rnacentral:rRNA from 1 species
UACGGGGGGGGGCAAGCGUUGUUCGGAAUUACUGGGCGUAAAGGGUCUGUAGGUGGCCAACUAAGUCAGACGUGAAAUCCCUCAGCUUAACUGGGGAACUGCGUCUGAUACUGGAUGGCUUGAGUGUGGGAGAGGAAUGCGGAAUUCCAGGUGUAGCGGUGAAAUGCGUAGAUAUCUGGAGGAACACCGGUGGCGAAGGCGGCAUUCUGGACCAUAACUGACGCUGAGGCGCGAAAGCUAGGGGAGCAAACAGG